UGAGAGCACAAAAGUGCGAUCUACAUACCACAUAAAUUAGUAUUAUCGCUAACAAGAUAAUGAUAGUCUCACUAGAUUAAUAUUAUAUUUUUGUUAAGUAUAGGUGAUCGUAAAUCGAGGCCAAAAUACGUAUUCAGUACAGAUUGGGCUUAGACAGAUGCAUAACUCAGACCGCGUAUGCCCAACCCCGUCAUGGUCUGAUCGAAUUCACCAUUCAUUGAGUAUACUUGCACCGGAGCUACACAUGUCUACAUGCCAUAGCUUCUAGAGCACAUUGGGGAAGAAUUCCAAAAACUUUCCAAAUCGGGCGUUCCCUUCCCAGCAUCCGCACGACCCAGCAAUCCGCGAUCACCUCCGAAGCAUUCGUCCCAUGUCCGUGAUCAUCUCCCGGACCUCCCAGCAGCCGCGAUCACCGCCCGGCCGUCUGCCACCGCCCAGCUUCUUCCCGGCCGUCCGCUCCUCUCGCACAACCAGAUCUGCAACGCGUCCCAGCUACCCCAUAAUCAUCCCGCGAUCAACGCUCCCAUGCCCGCGAUCAGCUCCAGCGCCCGAGCCUGUGAAGCCUCCCAGCAUCCCGUCUCCACCGUGUCCGCUUCUCCCGUGCUCUCAGCCAUCUGCCGUGAUACGCCCUCAAUCUCCUCCACAA
rnacentral:lncRNA from 1 species